ensembl:lncRNA
UACUGGCUGAGCUUCCAAUUCCUCACCAGCAAGACACAGCAGUUAAAACUUUGUAAAAACAAUUUGUAACAUGUUUCUCACUGUAUCAGUCUGAGUUCUUGUUUCAUGUUGAGUUCCUGAGAACAUUUAUCAUUUUGGAAAUAGUUUGACAGUGAGGACCAGGAAUUUUAAAGGCACAAAGUCAAUGUCUAGUUAAAUUUAUAUAGGAUUACAGUACAAUGGCUAACACAUAUUGAGCACCUACUGUAUAACCAACCCAGGCUGGUGUUUUUACAUGUAUUGUUUACUAUAAUGUACAUGGAAUCUGAAAUUUCAAAAAUCUGAAAUAAUACAUGUAGAUUAAAUAGUCUUUAGAAAGAUGUAAAAAUCACAUAAAUGAUAAGUCAACAUAAGAGCUGACUAAGAUCUGUACUUGUGGUUGCCAAGGGGGAGGGGGGAGGGAGUGGGAUAGACUGGGAGUUUGGGGUUAGUUAGGUGCAAACUACUGCAUUUGGAGUGGCUAAGCAGAUCCUGCUGUAGAGCACAGGGAACUAUAUCUAAUCACUUGUGAUGGAACAUGAUGGAGGAUAAAGUGAGAAAAAGAUAUAAAACUCGAUCACUUUGCUGUAUAGCGGAAAUCGACAGAACGUUGUAAAUCAAUUAUAAUAAAAAAUUAAAGAAAUAAAAAAGAUCCAUAAAGUGCUUGAGGAGUUGCAGAGAAAUACUUAGUUCUACCUGGGGAUCAGAGAAGGUGUUCAAGAAAAAGUGGUGUUUGUCCCACCACUUGAAGGUUGACUAGGAUUUUCCCAUGAAGUCUUUGGCUGUAGGCUAUUGGCACAUUUGUUAAAUCCAGCAGACACUCCCUUUCGUUCCAUAAGUGAUGAACACCAGAUCCCGCUGGGGCCAAGUCAGAACCUUCUUUCCGUAACAUACUUCAGAACAAAAGCGUGGUUCACUCUCCAUGUACCAGGACGAUGGGAGUCCUGCCCUUACGUUUAUGGAAAGUUUCCCCUUUGAGUAUAUCCAGAAACUCUUUAAAUGAAGGUUUAGCUUCUAGCUUCCAGAGCUUGAAAUUGUUCUGAAAGUUUCCAUCAUCUUAAAAGAGUCUUCUCAUCCCUUUUGCAAAACCAGUGUUUGUGACACAUAACAGAUGGUAUGAAAUUGAAGCUUUAUCAGUUGAUUUCACUUAUAAGCCAAGUGCAGAUAAAGAUGUAAGGAGCUGCAGGGUGGAAAAUGUAAUGCCAGAGACUUACAGGAGUGCGUCCGUGCCAUUGCUAAUGUCCCACUGUGGGACCCGUGGCAAGCCCUGGUGCCUUGGAGGGGCUUCGGGAACAUCCCUCUCAUCUGUUCCCUGAAUCCUGCAGUGGAGCACCCAGCUCCAGAGUUCAGAUGAGACUGAGAUGGCGAGAGCAGAAGUGGAGAGGUCUCUGUGUUGGUAUUUUGUGUUCUCACUCAGAGCAGCGGCUGGGUGAUCAAGUCCAGAACUAUGUGGGGUUCUUCCGGGUGUGACUGGGUGCCAAAUGCAGUGGCAGGGGAGCACUGUUCAGGCAGUUGAAUUUCACAGGCUGUUUUUCCCCUUUAGCUCUAAACUGAGAGGUUUUAUCUCUGCGAGGCAGCACUGAUCAACAGCCUGACUUGAGAAACCCAGCAGGAUUUGGACUGGGAACUUGCAACAUUUUCAUUGUGAAUAGGAAGAGAGGGUUUGGCUGGCUUGUGAAUCACGUGGGGUUCAGCUGCCUCCCCACCUUGGGCUGUGAGGUUUUAGAGGGAAAGACCCUGGCUUAGAUGGAUGUAUGCUUCUGGGCAUAGCAGAGUGCCUGAUGUAUGCUAGGAGCUUUGGAGAUGUCCCGAAGGAGAGAAUGCUGUAUUCUAUCACUCUGGUUCACCUUAGAAAGACCUUCCCUGUUUCUUCUCCUCAUUUGCUACUCAAGGUACCCUUCAGCUCACCUCUGCCUGUUUCCUACUUGCCUGUUCAAAUCCUCAUAUCACACAUUCUCUAGAACAACCCUGACAAGGCCAGCCUUCAUUGAGAACUUCCUGCCUGAGUUAUGAUGUCACUCCCUUUAGCAUCUAUCCUUUGGAACCAGGACAGAACAUAACCAGGUUCUACUUUCUCAGUGUUUUCCUGGGUUUGGGUCUCAUGGCUACUAGAAAGCAGGGAGUAGGACCAUAUUUUGAUACUCCACAUGGUGGAUUCUUUGGGGGGAUGGCAAGAAGCCACAGCUAGAAUUGAAAGAUCCAAGUGUGUGACCUGGUUCUGUGCCUUUAUUUGUUUGAUCUUGGCUGAGAGACUUAGGCUUUUGAAGCCUCAGUUUUCCCAGCUUUAAAAUGGGAAUAAACAGUACUUAUUACAGUGGAGCCAUAAAGAUUAAGGAUUUCUAGCAUAAAUUAGAUAUUGUUAUUGUUUAUCCCCAGUAGAGGUUGCACUGGCUGGGAACUUCAUCUCUUUUUACUUACUCUUUGCGAGUGACUGAGGAAAUGAACCAUGGAGAGUAUUUUGCCUUCCAGAAGUGAGUCCUAUAACUCAUUUGUGAAUGUUGGCACUUUGAAAUGGAGAGGGGAAAAAAAUGGAUUUUGUUUCUUUUAAAUGGACGGCGCUUUGUGUCUGCAUUACAAGAAAAAGCAGAGAAAUUUUUCUCUUCAGUUUUAUUUCUUUUACUAGCAUCUCUGGGUCACAUUUGCCUGUGAAUAAAAAAUAGGGUCAUCCACCAGUUUUGUUCUCAUCCAUUCUGGAAAGACCUUUGGUCUCUCCCCUUCCCAAAGAACAUUUAAGUUAUUGAGGCAUCUCAGGAUGUACUUCAGGUCACCCAGUCAUCCUGGCUGACUUCAUGAUCCUUGCGGCUCAUUGUGGUGACAUCCACUGAAUCUACUGAUGUUGAAAACAGCAGCUUGGACUUGAUAUCCAAGGAAAGUAUCAUCCACUGCUGGAGGUGCCAUGGGUGGCCUGGGGGCGCUGUUGCUGCUGCCCAAUGAUAGCACUGAUGCCCUUCUGAUGCCCACAGAGAGCGGGCCCAGAGCCCUGAGACCCUGUGUCCUUCCUGCUCAAGGCAUCAAUACUGCAAUCCCGCCAAUACCUUCUCUCACUUAGGUACCAGCUCCCUCUACUGAGAUGCAGACAGCAGAGCAGCCCAGAUGCCCUUGUGCCCUCAAAGUUACACCCAUGGUUUUGGGAAGAUGGCUCUUUUCUGUUACAUUUUGUCUUUGCUCACCCACGCAAUGUUAGUGGUUCUCCCAAGAGGUGCAGGACAGUUGUACACCAGGCGAGGGAUGGUGUAUGCCAUUCAGAAUACAUUCUCCCACCCCCAAUCGUGGACCAUUCUCUUUGAUUCAAAAAAAAAAAUGCACUGUCCUUCACUUUCACCCUAGGAUUCUUCCUGGAGGUGCCUUGGUCCCACCUGUAUAUACCCCACACCAAAUAGCAUGUCUCUUCCACACUGGUGGCUCAAGGUGGGGAUGCAGCCACACCCCAGACCUUCAGUGUCCAGCUGCUGAGAGAACUCAUGACCACCAUUACCUGGGCAAAAAGGGAGCAGACCUAGUUCAUCUCAUGGAUUGAGAGUUGGAUUGACACCCUGCUUGGCAUCUGGCUCUUCAGGCUCCUUGGGUGACUUUUGGUGGCCCUGGCUUUCCCACAAGCACAGGUAACCUCAUGAUUUCAGGUCUCACCAUAUGUUCUGAAAUAGACAAGCACAUGCACCAGUGUAAACUGCCUUAGAUUUGCCAAAGAGAUGCUCCUCACCAGAACUAAGUAUUUUCCCUUCUCCAAAAUAUAGUCGUGACUGUAUUCCUUUGCUUCUAAUACCACUUCUGCUGGAACUUCUUUUUCUGCAUGUUUGUUGGGUGGGAGGGGGAGAGAAGGUUGAUGGGAAGGAAUUUGGAGAAGGAGCCCUUUUUCUCCCCUAGCAAUCAGAAGCCUUAUUUCAUCUAAUAAUCUUUGUUCUUGGCAGUUGUAGAGCGGUAGCCUGGAGACCCUCAUCCUUCCCCUGACCUUCUUGACUGCAGCAACCAUGAUACAAGAGCAGCAUUUCCCCUGAUGGGAGCUCAGGCAAGCACUGUCUCCUGGAUGCACGCCAGCCCCCUGUGCUGGCCAGUUGGCACCGCCCACCUGCUUGCAAAAAGCAGGCUUUCUGCUCUGUCCCCUGAGAUGGCAGCCAGGCCAUGCCUAGUUCCUUCCAGUGGUGACCUUGGAAUCCAGAUUUCUCUUACAGAAGAGAGAUGAGGAUUCCUGUUUUUUCCCCUAUGACAUGAAUGCUUUAUAUGCUCAGAGAGCCUGGGGAGGGAAAUGAUGUUUUAUAGGUUGACUCUCCAUGUCAACCCCAAAGUGCUGGGUUUGCUGGAAAUGUUCAGUGAUAGCCCUCUUCUCCACUCUUCCCUGAGGCCCAAGUGGCUCCUGGCUUGUUCCAUCCUAAAACCAAAGCGAGCUGUUUACUUCUGUGGCUGUCCUUACACCCUGUUCAUUUUGCUUAUCUUCAGCACCUGUUACAUCUCCAGGCGGUGGACCUUGUGGAGACUCUGUCCUGACUGUAUCCUCUGCUAAACCCAGGUCACUAUCAGUGGGAAUUUAGACACACACCCCCCCAUCCUUGGCCAUGGGUCUGGCAUGAGGUUUUAAGCAUUACUCUUGUUGCUGGCGUAUUCCUUGUCUUCUGCAGGGACCAUCAGUGAAGGGGUUUCCUACCUUCGGUAAGUACAGGAAGUAUCAUUCAGGAACUGGGGGCCCUUCUGCUUACCACACACACAUUUGGGCUUUUUCUACCUGCAGCUACAUCUGUUAAGCAGUUUGCGCCACAUCCCUGGUGGCAGGUUCACUAAGCCUGGUGGGAUAUGAGCAAGGGGUCUAGCCCUAGAUGCACAUGAGAAUCUCCUAAAGGCUUUCAAAUAAUACUGCUGCCUAAGCCCCAUCUUAGACCAGUUAAAUCAGAGCCCCAGGGAAUGGGAAUUGGGUAGGCUGGGCUUUAGGAAUUUUUAAAGCUCCCCAGGUGCUUUUCAUGUUCAGCCCGUGUUGCAGUUUUUCAGUUUAUAGGGUUUCUCUGACAGCUGGAUGACCCUCCUGUGAGCACGUGUGUGUGUGGUUUCCCCUUCGUAGUGAUGGUAGGAUGACUGGCUGUUGCAAAGGGCUCUGUUUUGUGGUUUGUUUAGCCCACAGGAGUGAUAUAUCUAUCCUCAUGUUACAGACCUGGCCCCCUGGAUCAGGAGCUCUGGUGAAAGAUGUCCUGCUUGGAAGAUAGGGCUCGUGCAGGUUCUCAGUGGGCCGAAACCCUCAGUCUUACCCUCGUGAGUCCA